ACAGGUUUUGUUAGUAUGGAUACGAAGAGCCGACUGCCGUUGGAGUGUAUCCUCCGGACCCGUGAAUGCGGCUAACCCUAACCCUGGAUCAAGUGCUCACAAACCAGUGAGUGGCUUGUCGUAACGCGCAAGUCUGGGAUGGGACCGACUACUUUCGGUGUUCCGUGUUUCUAUUUAUUUUAUCAAUAAAGUUUUAUGGUGACAAUCUUGUGAUAUUAAGAUAUAAAGCUUUUAUCCUUUUGUUU
rnacentral:other from 1 species